rnacentral:rRNA from 1 species
GUCUCGGAGACAUUUCGAGUUUUGAAUGGGUUGUCUGCUGGCUCGCAAGGGCAUGUGCACGCCUGUCUCAUCCACUCUCAACUUCUGUGCACUUUUCAUAGGCCGGCUUGUGGGUGCGUUCGCGCACUUGUAGGUGUCGGGCUUAUGCUUUACUACAAACGAUUCAGUUUUAGAAUGUCAUACUUUGCUAUAACGCAAUUAUAUACAACUUUCAGCAACGGAUCUCUUGGCUCUCGCAUCGAUGAAGAACGCAGCGAAAUGCGAUAAGUAAUGUGAAUUGCAGAAUUCAGUGAAUCAUCGAAUCUUUGAACGCACCUUGCGCUCCUUGGUAUUCCGAGGAGCAUGCCUGUUUGAGUCUCAUGGAAUUCUCAACCUUCAGCUUUAUUGAUGAAGGCUUGGACUUGGAGGUCGUGCCGGCUCUCGUAGUCGGCUCCUCUGAAAUGCAUUAGUGCGAACGUUACCAGCCGCUUCAGCGUGAUAAUUAUCUGCGUUGCUGUGGAGGGUAUUCUAGUGUUCACGCUUCUAACCGUCUUCGGACAAAUUUCUGAACUCUGAGCUCAAAUCAGGUAGGACUACCCGCUGAACUUAAGCUACAAAACCCCCGGAA